AUAUUUUAGAAGCCAUGAUUGAAGACUGAGUUGUAACCCUGUUAACCACUGCAAGCAAGAUUCUGAUACCCAUUAUGGAUAUCAUCCUUUUCAGAACAAUUUAGUGAUCUGUAACAGGUACUAUGAAUUCUUCAUACGUCUUCAUCAAGUGAUACUACAUCGAGAAAUGUGGUCUGUGAACAUGGAGAAUAAAUAAACACUUAUACACAAAUAUUUGGAGACACCCUAAAUUAACAACUUUAAAGAAAUAGAUAAAUUAUGAUACAUUUAUAUGUUACUUUUGGGUCUUCCAUGGACAAGAUAAAUAGAAAAAUGGGCAAUGUAUAUGUGUACAGGGGAGAACAUUUGUUAUUUUGAGAGUUGAGCACUUUGUUCUUAACAGGAUAGAAACUGUUUCCAGAUAGAAGAGAAGUAGCAAGCUCAUAUGCCUAAAGGAAGCAGACAAGUGACAUAAAUGAGUGAAAUGAUCCCUGUAUAAGAGAUAACAUGGAAGAGUGAUAGUGGGGGCAUCUGUGGCAUACUGAAGAGCACUUGCCAAUCUAUACAGACAACCAAAACUCAGCUCCAGCUCAGUUGUAUCUGAGAAUGUGCACCCAUUGUUGCCAUUUCUUCUGAUUUUUUUCUAAAGGAGCUUACCGCCUGGAUUUUGCUAUACUUUUUCUGUCAUCAUAGUCAAUAGUCUAAAGGGCCAUUUCAUAUUAACCCAAGGGAUGCCAGAGGGUUUGUUUUUUGUUUUUUCUUUGCAUCUGGCUUAGAGGUCAAAAUAAAUUAAGAUCCCUUAGUGACUGUGGUUUUUGGGAACAAGGAAGCUCUCCAGAGAUAGCCCGGAUAGGCUAAAAAUAAUUUCCAAAGAAUGGCUAGACAAACUAUUCAGCAAAAAAGGGUGGAGGAAAAGUAGACAAAUGGAAAGAGGAGAGGGAAUAGGAAGUGAAGUAACACAACAGUAGGUGAAGUAAGGACUUAUAAGAACAUGGAUUUCUAAAUAUCCAAUUCACUAAGAUUGCUGUGAACCCUCGGUAAACUAUGCCAUGCAUAUAAAUACCUUGGAUGAUGGUAUUUUGAGAAAAUCAAAGGACAAUAGCUAUUUGCACAUUCCCCUUUGUUGGUGCAGGCAAGGAAGAAAAGAAUCACUCUAGGAGUUGAGAGAUGAGUGAGUUUCAAGGCUUUAAGGAAAUAAGAAAUUGAAAAGAGAGGUACCAUAAAAUAUGUAAUAUCACUUUUCUAAGAAGUGAUAGAAAAUAUAGCUAGGGUAUUGUACACCCUAUAAGACAGAAAUUAUUGAGCGUAUUAAGGUAACCCUACCUGCUAUCUCAAGAUAUCAGUGAUUUAAAGCAAUAGAAAUUUAUUUCUAUGUCAUAUUAGAGUUCAAUGGGUGGCAAGUGACAAGGUAUGAACUCUGCUCCACACAGUUAUUUAAGUUCCCAGGCUGAUAAAGGGUACAUCACACGGGUUCCAAGGUCAACCUGGACUAUCAGCUAGCUCUUGGUAGGAGAGAGAGAAAGAGUGGAUAACCAUGCAAGAUAUUUCUAUGUUCAACAUUCUGUUAGCCAUAACUCAGUCAUAUAUGGCCACACCUAAUUGUAAGAAAGGCUAGGAAUUGUGAUCUAGAUGUAUGUCCAGGAGGAAAGGAGAACUAUGUUCUCUGACUUAGCGGGGUCAAGCCAAAUUUACUUAAAUCUCAAUGAACCAGGUAACAUGUGGAGGUGGGAUGGAUGGAUGGACGGAUGGAUGGAUGGAUGGAUGGAUGGAAUAAAGAUAAAAUCCAUAGACUGAUGUAGGGGGAAAGAAAGAUAAAAAAGAGAUAAUUCUCAAAUAUUUGUGUGUUUGUAUGUGUCCAGACUUGGGAGGGGAACACAUAUAUUCAGAUACAGAUGAGCACUUUGUAUUACUUGCUCCUUCUUAGUCUUCUCCCGGAACCCCUGUGAUGUUGCCAUAGUCCACAUGAUCCUGUCUCCCAAGACAAGGACUGACUAAACUGGAGUAGACACCUUACCCAAACUAGUACAAUCAGAGCCCCAUUCAAGAGAGUUGGAACUGAGGCAGAGGAGGUGUAGCUCUGUUCUUGAACUAGGAAGUCAUAUCAGAGGCUGCCAGUUGUCCACCAGUCUCUUUUGUCCAUAGCAACACAGUUGUGGCUGGACACAUUUAAGACCAGCUAGAUCUGACAUUCCCAAGCCUCUCGCAGCUAGCUACAAUUAUCUGGUUUAUUUCAAGUCAAAGGACUAUGAAUGGAAGUCACACAUGUAACAUCUGGAUUGUCUCCUAAAGGUAAACCAUUUCUCCUGAACUAGCGCUUUUCACCCCCUCCCAUGAAUUGUAACUUGGGCAUGCCUUUGAACCAGCUUCAUCCAGACAAACUGGGCAAUGCUCUAGGGAGUGACAGAGCAAAAAAAAUAUGUAAGGAAUCUAGAUCUCAGAAUAACUGCAGGGAGUAGGCCUGUCUUAUCAACCUGGAGUGAGAUAACUUCUUUGAGUAAACUUCUUUUGAAACCACUGCAUUUUGAGGGUUCUUUGUUGCCUUUUCUGAAACCUAUACAAAGGCCAUGUAAAGCCAGAACUGGGGUAGCCACAUGCAUGGCCAAAGUUGAGAAAGCCAGUCUUCAAGAGCAGAAAAUCACCAAAAGGAAAUAAAGAUUGGAAAUACAUUCUGCCUUCGAGAAAUGAAGAGAUAAGUUGUUACUGCUGUCAGUUCAGUUACUGGUUACAUUCUUUCUUAACGUUCCUGAGUUUCAUAAAUAUGCUUUCAAUAAAUGUCCAUUUUUUAUUAAGAGAGUUUGGAUUUCCAUUGCUUAUAGCUCCAAAAACCUCUAAGAUGGCAAGAGAGCAAGAAUGAAAGCAAGAAAUACACGAAAAUGUCAAAAGUAGUCAUGUUUAUGGGGUAGAUAUGCAAGUGAUAUGAUUUGACUCUGUGUACCCACUCAAAUCUCAUGUUGAAUUAUAAUCCUCAAUAUUGGGGGAGGGACCUCAUAGAAGGUGAUUGGAUCAUGGGAGUGGAUUUCUCUCUUACUGUUCUCAUGAUAGUGAGUUCUCAUGAGAUCUGGUUGUUUAAAAGUGUGUAACACUUCCCCCUUCACUCUUUCUCUCCUGCUGCCAUGUGAAGAUGUGCUUACUUUCCCUUUGCCCUUCUACCAUGGUUGCAAUUUUUCUGAGGCCUCCUAGCCAUGCUUCCUGCACAGCCUGUGGAAUUGUGAGUCAAUUAAACCUGUUUUCUUUAUAAAUUGCCCAGUCUCCGGUAAUUCUUUUUUUUUUUUUUUUUUUUUUUUUGAGACAGAGUCUCACUCUUUUGCCCAGGCUGGAGUGCAGUGGUGCGAUCUCGGCUCACUGCAACCUCUGCCUCCUGGGUUUAAACUAUUCUCGUGCCUCAGCCUCCUGAGUAGCUGGGACUACAGGCGUGUGCCCCCAUGCCUGGCUAAUAUUUUGCAUUUUUUGUAGAGACGGGGUUUCACCAUGUUAACCAGGUUGGUCUCCAUCUCCUGACCUCGUGAUCCGCCUGCUUCAGCCUCCCGAAGUGCUGGUAUUACAGGCGUGAGCCACUGCACCCAGCCAUCUCAGGACAUUAUAUGUAAAACAAAUAUAAGAAGACUCUGAAAGUUGGAGAAAAGACGUUAGACCAUCUGGAGACCUUGGGAUCUGAGGAACAACAUAGCAGUGAGUUCCCUGGGUUUCCUUUCUGGCUUAUAUAUCCCAAACUGGGUGCUGGAGAAGCCAGCAACCUAGACAGACACAACAACAGGUACAGACAAAAAAGAAAAAAAAAAAGCCCCAGCAAAUGCCACUGUCUACACCCAAAGAACCAGGAAAUGUGCAGCCUUCCAAGACAAUACCACUUUAUUGCAGCCAAAAUGGCAGAAAAAACUGUGGCCCCACCCCAACUAGCGAAAUCCAAAGGGGAGCCUAGACUUUCCUCCUUGCCAGGCUGUAAGGAAGCACCUCAAACCCCCUACCAGGACGAUGUCAGAGAAGGAUGAGUAGGGAGCUGGGACUUCUAUCAUCACUGAGCAGUAACUGGGGCUGUCCUCUCCCACAGUGUCAGUGAAGACCACAUGGGGACAUGGAAGCAGUGACAAGACCCCUCUACCCUCUCUCAGCAGUAAGAGGAGCCCCUCCCCAUCCCAGGUGUCAACAGAGGCUGAGUGGGAACCUGGACUUCUACCCCCACCUGGUAGUAACAAGACAGGCUCCACCCCUUUCUUUGCCAGAGUGGUGUUGGAAGAAGCCAAUAAAAACAAAAGGUGUAAAUGAGACUGAGCGUCUCAUAACGUGAUAUCCAAAAUGUCUAGCUUUCCAUCGAAGAUCAUAUCAAGAGCCAGGAAAAUCUCAACUUGAAUGGAAAAAGACAAUCAAUAGAUCCCAACAUCAAAAUGACAGAGAUGGCAGAAUUAUCUGACAAAUAUUUUAAAGACAGCCAUUAUAUAAAUGUUUGAAAUAAACUAUUACAAACAUACUUGAAACAAACAAAAAAUAGAAAGUCUCAGCAGAAGUAUAGAAGAUAUAAAGAAGAACCAGAUAAAAAUUUUAGAACCGAAAAAUACAAAAGCCGAAACAAAAGACAACAGCAGAAUAAACGAGACAGGAAGAAAAUCAAUGAACUUGAAGAUAGAGCAGCAGAAAUUAAGCAAUAUGAAUAACAGAGAGAAAAUAGACUAAAAAAAUGAAAAGAACCUCAGGGACUUAGGAAACUAUAACAAAAGAUCUAACAUUCCUGUCACUGGAGUCUUGCAAGGAGAGAAGAAAAAGGGCGGGGCUAAGAAAAGGACACAAAGAAAUCAUAGCUAAAAGCUUCCAAAAAAAGUGAUGUAAUCUUAUUGGCAAUUAAGAAUUCAAAUUGAAUAAUAAAAUGACAUUUUUAUCCUUUGCUUCUCUAAUUGGCAAAAAAUAUUUAUGAUUGAUGACAUUGCAUAUUAGUAGGUAUAUGAGAAAUGAGGAUUCUUACAGUUAGUGACAGUUUAAAUUGAUGAUAUGUUUUUCAUUAAGUUUUUCUGAAUUGUCUAUUGCUAUCAAAAUUGUAAAUGUGCACAUUCCCUGAUGCUGAAAUUACACUUCCAGAAAUAAAUCUAUCCCAUGAAAUAGCCACAUAUGUUCAGAAAUCAUAUAAACUAUAUAAAGAAUAUUUAUUGCAAUAUCAUGUGUAAUCAUGGAAAAUUACAAAUAAAAACAUCCAUUAAAACAGAAAUAGUUAAUGAAUUGUGACUUAUUUGUACUAUAGAUGUGACAGAGUUGUUUAAUAAAUGUAUGAGAUUGACUUACACAAUUUGAUAUGGAAAUAACUCUAAGUUUUAAAAUGCUAGUAAAGGAACACUAUGUAUAAUAUGGUCCCAAACACAAGUACACCAAGAAAGGUGUAUGUUUGUGAAUACAAUGCAUAGAAAGUGGACAUAGAGAUAAGACAUUUUAAGAGUAUCCCCAGCUCCAAGCUGUGUUUGCUUGAGCCUUUGAAUAAACUGAAAAAAACAGAAAAUGUCACUGUUAAAGAAUGGUGUGGAAGGACUGAUAGAGAUUAUGAGGUGAUCAAAAUCUCCCUAAAGCAAAGGUUGACAGUUAAUUGAGUUUGACAGAGGUGGGUGACAAAGGGAAAUGUUCACACUUCGUUCUCCACUCUUUUAUGUCUUUGGCUCAUGUCCA
rnacentral:lncRNA from 10 species